UACGGGGGGGGCAAGCGUUGUUCGGAAUUACUGGGCGUAAAGGGCUCGUAGGUGGCCAACUAAGUCACACGUGAAAUCCCUCGGCUUAACUGGGGAACUGCGUCUGAUACUGGAUGGCUUGAGUUUGGGAGAGGGAUGCGGAAUUCCAGGUGUAGCGGUGAAAUGCGUAGAUAUCUGGAGGAACACCGGUGGCGAAGGCGGCAUCCUGGACCAACACUGACACUGAGGAGCGAAAGCCAGGGGAGCAAACGGG
rnacentral:rRNA from 1 species